rnacentral:rRNA from 1 species
UGGGGAAUCUUGCGCAAUGGGCGAAAGCCUGACGCAGCGACGCCGCGUGAGUGAUGAAGGCCUUCGGGUUGUAAAGCUCUGUGGAGGGGGACGAAUAAGGGACGGCAAAUACCCGUUCUGAUGACGGUACCCCUUUAGCAAGCACCGGCUAACUCUGUGCCAGCAGCCGCGGUAAGACAGAGGGUGCAAACGUUGUUCGGAAUUACUGGGCGUAAAGCGCGUGUAGGCGGCUCUGGAAAGUCGGAUGUGAAAGCCCUGGGCUCAACCCAGGAAGUGCAUUCGAAACUUCCGAGCUGGAGUCCUGGAGAGGAAGGCGGAAUUCUCGGUGUAGAGGUGAAAUUCGUAGAUAUCGAGAGGAACACCGGUGGCGAAGGCGGCCUUCUGGACAGUGACUGACGCUGAGACGCGAAAGCGUGGGGAGCAAACAGG